CAUGACCUACUCAUAAUACAUUUUUCCAACCUUCAAACAGCUUGAAAAUAUCCAGAUGUAGUGCUACAUAUCUGAGAACCUUACACUUCGGAAGUGUCAUUAGGAGAAUCAGUGGUUUUAAGACUAACCUUGAUUGUAAAACAAGUUCAAGAGCGGCACAGGCUAAAUGAGACCCUGCCUUUACAUGGGUGAGGGGUUGUUAUUAUUGUUAUUUUUUUGUUUUGAGAGAGGGUCUCAUGUAUUCCAAGUUGGCCUUGAACUCCCAAUAUGGCCAAGGAUGACCUUUAACCUCCUGCUUCUGCCUCUGAAGAUUGGGGUUUAUACUCAUGAGCAAACAUGGUUAGUGCAGCCCUGUCUUCAAAACAAAGCAAACAGUAACAUUCCUAGUACUCUGAUAGAAGCUAAUAGAUGUGAAAUAAUAGUUGCAUACUGAAGAAUCAGCAACAAUCAAAAGAAUUCUCUGGCAUUAGCCUUAUCUAGAAUAGGCAAUCAGCAAACUUGACAGAGAGUAAAGAGCUGAGACCCUGCACAACACUGUCCCUGUCAACUGCUCAAUUCUGCUAUUCUGGUGAAGGUGAACAGAGACAAUAUAUAAAUGAAUGAGUACCACUAUGUUCCCAUAAAGCGCUAAUUACAAGAAAGGUAGCAGGGGAAAGGAAUAGUGGGCGUUGUAGGCACUGCUAAGACUGAUCUAUUGUAUCAGGAAAAGGAAGCUGAGGGUCUUUGAGCAGAAGAAUGACAGCUGGUCUUAAAAGGCAUCGACAGCUAAAAGGACAGACUCAGUUACUAUUUGGGGAAUAGGCCAUGAAGGAAUAAAAAAGCAAGAACAUGGGAAGAAUUUUAAAGGUGGCAGUGCCGAAAUCACUGUGACAGCAGCAAAGGUCAGCUUGUCUUCCAUGAGCAAGUGUCAAGACACGAUCUGAAUUACUCUUAGACAUAGAGCCACAGUUUCUAAUGGAUUUCGCAGUAAGGUGAAAAAAGAAAACUCAAGGAUGAGUCCAAACUCCAUGGCUUGCAAAAUCAGAAGAAUAGAGUGUUUACUACAGCGGAUAUGUAGAAGGAUAUGUAGAAGGAGGCACCCACUGGGCCAAGAAUAUAAGGAUUUUAGUUUCUGAAAUACUAAGUUUGAGAUGACUACUCUAGUGAGAAUUUUGGAAUUUUUUAAAACACAGAAAUGUUAUGUGGAUAUGUUUUUGUUUUAAUCGUAGGUGUGGGAUAUGGAGCUGCUUUAGACUGUCUAUAACAGCUAAGAUUUGUCUCAUGUUCUAGCAGGACUGUGAUUUUCGCCAGAUGAACAUAGUCUGUGUUGGGGAUUCUGGGAGCUCUUCAGAGAAUGUAAAGUAUCAGAAAGGUGGUGGCCGUUGCUCCUGUUGAAUCACUAGCUGGAGAUCUCCUGACUGCACAGAUUGAAUUUGCCCCAAGGAACUUGAUGAUCCUAAUAAGCAGGAAGUAUAGUCUAUAAAUAUGGAUGCCCCUUUCCCCUCUACCUCGUCUUGAGGGGUUAGAAAGCAUAAGGGUGGAGAGGGGUGGUAGGAAGAACCCAAUGAAGGAGACAAAAAGUCGGGGUAUAAACUACUAUCUAUUUAUGUUAGAUAUGAGAUUCUGGAGUUCAGGAAAAACGAGUUGUAUUUCAUAUAAGUCUAAAAGCAAACACAGGAAGAACAAGAAUUCCUAGCCAGUCUCUGCUCUAAGAGGCUGUCCUGAGCCAGCAAAGGUCCUUUCUUAAGUAAAUCCAUUACUAGCUAGAAGGACAAAAUAGGUCCAUACCACUUAACCAGGACAACACGACU
rnacentral:lncRNA from 1 species